rnacentral:rRNA from 1 species
GAUUUCUGGCGAACCGUUGCGGCCCGUGGUCGAUUUCGGCCGUGUGUGCCGUGCCGUGUUUGUCAUCCUUCCAGAGAGCUGCGUCUACCAUUCACUUGGCCGGACGUACGCGAUCUGGAUCUAUUACUUUGAAAAAAUUAGAGUGUUUAAAGCAGGCUUUCGCUAUGAAUACAUUAGCAUGGAAUAAUAAUUUAGGACUUCGGUCCUAUUUUGUUGGUUUCUAGGACUGAAGUAAUGAUUGAUAGGGACAGUUGGGGGUGCUAGUAUUCCGCGGCCAGAGGUGAAAUUCUUGGAUUCGCGGAAGACUAACUACUGCGAAAGCAUU